rnacentral:rRNA from 1 species
AUUGAACGCUGGCGGAAUGCUUUACACAUGCAAGUCGAACGGCAGCACGGACUUCGGUCUGGUGGCGAGUGGCGAACGGGUGAGUAAUAUAUCGGAACGUGCCCAGUCGUGGGGGAUAACGUAGUGAAAAUUACGCUAAUACCGCAUACGAUCUAUGGAUGAAAGCGGGGGAUCGCAAGACCUCGCGCGAUUGGAGCGGCCGAUAUCAGAUUAGGUAGUUGGUGAGGUAAAGGCUCACCAAGCCGAAGAUCUGUAGCUGGUCUGAGAGGACGACCAGACACACUGGAACUGAGACCCGGUCCAGACUCCUACGGGAGGCAGCAGUGGGGAAUUUUGGACAAUGGACGCAAGUCUGAUCCAGCCAUUCCGCGUGCAGGACGAAGGCCUUCGGGUUGUAAACUGCUUUUGUACAGAACGAAAAGGUCUCUAUUAAUACUAGGGGCUCAUGACGGUACUGUAAGAAUAAGCACCGGCUAACUACGUGCCAGCCGCCGCAGUAA